AUGCAAAGAAAUUGCUGGAACAGUUCACGCAACAGGCAUGCCCGAAGGGCCGUUCCUCAUGCCCGACAACGGCUGUGGCUGGGAGGAUCUCCAGCGCUACAGCAAUCCAUGCUACGUGCUUUUCAUGACAGCACAGUUGGAGGUCAUUCGGGCUUUCCUGUGACUUAUCGGUGCCUCCGCAGGCUCUUUGCGUGGCCGAAGAUGAAGCAGAUCAUCAGAGAGUACGUGCAGCAGUGCACAGUUUGCCAGCAAGCAAAACCGGAGAGGGUUAAAUACCCUGGUCUGCUCGAACCUAUCCCAAUUCCGAGGGGCCUGGCAAGUUGUGACAAUGGACUUCAUCGAUGGCCUCCCACAAUCAGGCAGAGCGAAUUGCAUCCUCGUCGUGGUGGACAAGUUCACGCGAUAUGCACAUUUUUUACCUCUCCAACAUCCAUUCACAGCAGCCAGGGUAGCUCGCUCCUACUUGGACAAUGUGUACAAGCUGCACGGUCUGCCCAAGGCCAUCAUCUCAGACAGGGAUCCAGUGUUUACAAACAAGUUCUGGCGCGAGCUGUUUACCUGCAUAGGCUCGGAACUGAAGAUGAGCACCCCGUAUCAUCCACAUACGGAUGGACAAUCAAAAAGAGUGAAUCAGUGCCUCGAGAUUUAUCUGAGAUGCUCCAUCCAUGCCUGUCCUAA
rnacentral:rRNA from 1 species